rnacentral:rRNA from 1 species
AUCACUAAGCGGAGGAAAAGAAACUAACAAGGAUUCCCUUAGUAACGGCGAGUGAACCGGGAAGAGCCCAGCACCGAAUCCCCUGCAUAGACUGUAGCGGGAACUGUGGUGUUUAGGAGAGCCUGUGGAGCGGGAGGAGGCGUCCGAGUCCCCAUGAACGGGGCUUUCGCCAGAGCGGGUGUCAGUCCUCUAGGACGCAGCCUUCCCGUUGCUCAGUACCUCCUAGGAGUCGGGUUGUUUGAGAUUGCAGCCCAAAGCGGGUGGUAAACUCCAUCUAAGGCUAAAUACUGGCACGAGACCGAUAGCAAACAAGUACCGUGAGGGAAAGUU